rnacentral:lncRNA from 1 species
GCUGUGUUGAAGGCCCAUUUGUGGUGUUUUUUUUUACUCUUUGACACAUUCCCCAUUUCCAGUCUCUAUUUUAUUUUACUGUUGUCAAGAUUUUUUUACCUUUUUUGAAUAAAUAAAAAUAAAAUCAAAUGGGAUGACUUAAACAUGAACGAAAUCACAUGAUAUAUUUGAAAAUAAGCAAAAUCUGAUGAGAAUGGAAUCGAAAUAAGAUAAUGCAUCA